UACGAAGGGGGCUAGCGUUGUUCGGAAUCACUGGGCGUAAAGCGCUCGUAGGCGGAUCUUUAAGUCAGGGGUGAAAUCCCGAGGCUCAACCUCGGAACUGCCUUUGAUACUGGAGAUCUCGAGUCCGGGAGAGGUGAGUGGAAUUGCGAGUGUAGAGGUGAAAUUCGUAGAUAUUCGCAAGAACACCAGUGGCGAAGGCGGCUCACUGGCCCGGAACUGACGCUGAGGAGCGAAAGCGUGGGGAGCAAACAGG
rnacentral:rRNA from 1 species